CCCAGAUCCCAAUGGUGCCAUGGCCAGAAGGAGCCAGAGCAGUGUGGGAUUCAGAGUGCUACCAGUGGGUGUGCCUUCUUUCACCGUCCAGCUCCUUCUAAUUCUCUGUGGACGCCUACUGGAUGCCCAGGCCCAAGAGCUCAUUUUCUGCAAUAAUUCAAGUGGAAAAACCCCAUUGGCCUUUUGUCGAGGGAACCAAGGCGAUGCUAACUUCCUGGUUGGCCUACAAACAUAUGUCAUCCCUGCAGCCCUCCUUGCAUUACCCAAGUUUUGGUGAAGAUACCAAAUUGGGUAAUGCCUUUGUGAUCAAUGUUUUCUGUAAAAGUACAUUGUCUAAAUAAAAAAUAAAACAAGAAAGUA